UACGUAGGUGGCAGGCGUUGUCCGGAAUUAUUGGGCGUAAAGCGCGCGCAGGCGGUCUUUUAAGUCUGAUGUGAAAGCCCACGGCUCAACCGUGGAGGGUCAUUGGAAACUGGAAGACUUGAGUGCAGAAGAGAAGAGCGGAAUUCCACGUGUAGCGGUGAAAUGCGUAGAGAUGUGGAGGAACACCAGUGGCGAAGGCGGCUCUUUGGUCUGUAACUGACGCUGAGGCGCGAAAGCGUGGGGAGCAAACAGG
rnacentral:rRNA from 1 species